rnacentral:rRNA from 1 species
UACGUAGGGUGCAAGCGUUGUCCGGAAUUAUUGGGCGUAAAGAGCUUGUAGGCGGUUUGUCGCGUCUGCUGUGAAAUUUCGGGGCUCAACCCCGAACUUGCAGUGGGUACGGGCAGACUAGAGUGUGGUAGGGGAGACUGGAAUUCCUGGUGUGGCGGUGAAAUGCGCAGAUAUCAGGAGGAACACCGAUUGCGAAGGCAGCUCGCUGGGACGUCACUGACGCUGAGACGCGAAAGCGUGGGGAGCAAACAGG